UUGAACGCUGGCGGAAUGCUUUACACAUGCAAGUCGAACGGCAGCACGGGGGCAACCCUGGUGGCGAGUGGCGAACGGGUGAGUAAUGUAUCGGAACGUACCCAGUCGUGGGGGAUAACUAUCCGAAAGGAUAGCUAAUACCGCAUACGUCCUGAGGGAGAAAGCGGGGGAUCGCAAGACCUCGCGCGAUUGGAGCGGCCGAUAUCGGAUUAGCUAGUUGGUGAGGUAAAGGCUCACCAAGGCGACGAUCCGUAGCGGGUCUGAGAGGACGACCCGCCACACUGGAACUGAGACACGGUCCAGACUCCUACGGGAGGCAGCAGUGGGGAAUUUUGGACAAUGGGCGCAAGCCUGAUCCAGCAAUGCCGCGUGCAGGAAGAAGGCCUUCGGGUUGUAAACUGCUUUUGUACGGAGCGAAAAGGCUCUCUCUAAUACAGGGGGCUCAUGACGGUACCGUAAGAAUAAGCACCGGCUAACUACGU
rnacentral:rRNA from 1 species